AGAUGUGAAGGUAGACUGGCUGGACCAUCUGUCACCGCAUAGAUCACCAGUUUGAUUCAGCUGAUCUGGCUGGCUAGGCAGAUGUUCCCUUCCUCAGUGAUCCGUGCUAGUGGGAUAGAGGAGGGCCUUUUCCUUAGUCAAAGGUAUAUGAGUAGAUGCACUCCCCUGCUAAAACCUGUAGAAGCUAUUAGAAGGGCGAGAGAUAGCGCAGUGGUAGUGUGUUUGCAUGCACAAGGCCCU
ensembl:misc_RNA 7SK 7SK RNA